UGAGUUACGUAUACCACGUCUUCAGAUAGACCACCACACUGAACUUCUCUUCGGAAAUCUCAUUGCCUUGGAGUGGUGUCAUUAUAAAGGAGAAGAGUACAUCUGCCAUUACGUUAAGCUACUUGAUACUCUUGUUGCCAAACCCAAAGAUGUGGCUCUCCUCAUUAAAAAUAAAUCAUUAAAACAGACAGAGAUGGUGCUUCAGUGAAGAAUCUGAUUGACAAGCUUUCGGCAGAAACUUCUGAAGAAUAUUCCAUUUACCUCUACAAGCAGCUGGAUCAACACUACCAGAAUCCUGGUUGAAAAAUAGCGCAUACUUUAGAGAGGUAUAUUUUGGAAACCUUUGGAGAAGUACUGCAACUGUUAGUGCAACUGUCUUGCUCCUCUCCACUCUUGUACAGACAAUUUGUGCAGUCCUUUCCUUGCGCUAGUACUCCAAGGGGACCAAGUUAGCCCCAAUCCGGUGUCAUUUUAUUUCUCUCAUUGUUGACUUUCGUUGUAUUGUUGUGUACUUUCCGUUUCCUUUGCAGUUUUUCAUUGUACUUCAACUCAUGGGCUUUCUUUGUAUUUAGUAUUCAUGACUUUGUAAUGGAUGCUGUCUUCACUAUCAAGUUCAUCCUGCAGAAUUCAACAAAUCUCCAUCGUAAAGAGUCAAAAAUUAUCUUAGGAAAGCAAAAAUUGAUAGUGAAGAUUAUCUUAGGACUUGAUACUACUCGAAAAUCAACUAACUUACUUCAUUGUUGAGAAACAGUAUGACAAGAGAUAUUACCCUACAUUUCUUCAGCUUAUCUAUAACUACCCUGCAGCGGAGGCAAAACCUCAUCCAAGGGAAGUAAGACAUUUCACUGAUUUGGUAAGGUGUUCUAUAUUGUUGAGAAAAUGAUGAUGAUGGUGAUGAUGAUAAGAUCAAUAGUGUAAAAGAAAAAUCCAACUGCUUUUAGCAGAAUUCAAGGUUGCCUUUCUAUGGUUGCACCUGUUGUCAUAGUACUAGGCAUUCAAAUCAACACAAAGAUCAUGAUAACAAGUAAAAUACUCAUUAAUUUGCUCGCAAAACAAUAAUAAUUAUUUUCAAGAGUAUUUUUAUUUUAAAAUAUAUAUAAAUAAUUUUUAAUAUCAACUGUUAAAUAAUAUUUUUCCUUACUUUUUUAUUUAAGUCAUUGAGAAUGUCUAUUAAUUUGAGUUAUUUUGAAUCUUUAUUACAAAGAAUAUUUUUAAUUAAAUUCUUUUGUCAAAACAAAAAAAUACAUAAAAAGGGCAAUGAAGACAUUGAUCUAAGAAAUGCUAUUUUUUUUUUUCUUUUAAAAUCCAAAUCUUUCUAACUCUUACGAAUAUUGAUUUUAAUUAUUAUAUGAUUAAAUAAAAAUUAGUUUUUGAAAUUACCCCCGCAACAUGAUGCUGGCGGAAAAGCUAUGUACGUUACUCUCUCUCUCUCUUUCGUCCUUUGACAGCUUGUUCAUUCCAGCAAAGAAACAACAGUGGGUGUGGUGGGGAUGGGACUUGGGAUUUUGGUGAACGAUGAUAAUCAGAUGUGGGGACAUUUUAUUAUAAAUAUUAUCUGAGCACCCUAUGGCAUAGCCCAUUGUAAUGAAGUGACUAAUGGCACGUAGGUGGGCCUUCAUUGAGUUCUUGGACUUGAUUUUUUUAAUAUUGUUUUUUAUAUUUUAAAGGGUUGAACAUCAAUUUUCUUUAAAAAAUACGUGAGCAAUAAGUCACCGGCUGAGGCAAGUAGCAUUUCAUCUACGAGCCUAAAUUUCUAACCACUAUGUGGAGUUGGUUGGAAAAUCAGGUUAAUAUUUUGUUUUUUCUUGAUAAAUUCAAUUUUUUAGCCAUUUGAAUUCAAAACACCUCAUGAAGAUUCUUGAAAUACUUAAAAAUCAAUUUAUCAAUCAAAAAUACUUUAAAGAUAUCCAAAAAUCCAAAAUUAAAUCAAGUUUGAUCUGACUUCCUCAUCUUAGAUAUGCUUUCAAAUAAUAUUGAGACUCUAAACAACAACAAUUAAGCCUUUUUUAUUGUAUGAAAUCUAAAAACAUGAAGAAAACUACUUUGAUGGUCGAUAAUAGUGUGAACAAUGACCUUCUUUUUCACCGCUAUACUUUAGCAAUCUCUCUCUCAUUUCUUUAAUCAAGGACUGAAAAUUAACACAAAUUAAUUUUUGUAUCAAAAUUGAAUAUGUGAUUUGAAGGGACCUAAAUUAUAUAAAUUAUAUUAUUUUUAAAGUUUGAGAACCUAAAUGUAUUUUUCGUAAAAACCCUAACAGGCCAUCUAUCUUUUGAUGUAUUUUUCAUUUCACUCCUUUUUUUCAAUUCCAUAAUCUUCCAUCUAUUUCACCUCUAUAUAUAUCAUCUCAUCAGCCUCUCGAGAGUCGACUUAUUUUAGAUAGAAAAAUAUUACUACCAGUCAAGAUCGAGGGAGCAAUGAGCUGGAUCCAUCUUUGCUUCUUGACAAUGACCCAUGCCGAGAAAAUACAGAGGAGAUGGAGAAUUAAUUAAUGGAGAGCAAUGCAAUCAGCUUUCAAAACGAGAGUAGUUUAUCUUGCCCUCCCUCUUGAAGCUUCAAAUGAAAUGGAUCUUUAAUGCCGUCGUUGUAAGGCCAAACUCGGUAACUAUACCGAGAUAUGGAUCAACUUUUUUUUUUUUUUUCUAAAAACAAAUUAAAAUUUAAAAUGCUAUUAUUUUAUUAAAAAAAUAGACAAUAUUUUAACUAAGCAAAGUUCUUAUCUUCUUCGAGUUAUUGAGUUAAACCAUAAGUCAGCUAGAUAUUACUUACUAAUUUAUCACUUAUCUUUUUGCACCAGGUUGGACAUAAGUUUUUUGAAAUAUAUAAAAAAAAUUUAGAUCAUCAGAAACUUUGAAGCAUUAUCAUUAAAUUUAGUAUAAUUGUUUAAAUUUAAAAAAUCUUAAUUUGACUAUUUUUUUAAAUAUUUAGUUAGUGUUUCAAGCUCGCAACAUGAAUUAUGUAUUCAAUUAACUUUGAUUAAUUUUUUUUUUAUUUGAUGAUAGAAAACAUAAAAAUUGAUUUAUCAUUAAAUCAAUACUCUUAGAUAAAAUUCAAUAAAAAUCUCAAAUUAAAUGAUGCAAUUAUAAAAAAAGGGGCAAAAGAUAUAAACAAAAGAGCCAAAAAAAUCUUGAUCCGAAUCUUUAAUUAAUAUUUAGCUAACUUUUAAUUUAAAUAUUGAUGCAAUGGACUUUACAUAUUGAUUUUUUUUAAUUUAUUAUAUGAUAAGACAAAAACUAAUUUACUAUUAAUCCAAUAUCAAUGAUAAAAUUUAAUAAAAAAUUCAUACUAAAUAAUGAAAUUUAAAAAAAAAAAAACAAUAUAAAAAAAUUAAAAAUCCCAACCAGACUUUUUAAUGAAUAUUUAAUUAACUCAUUAAAGCUACAAUUCUAGUUAUAAACUUUAUUGGUUUUAUUCAAGUUUUUAAUUUUAUUAUAUAAUAAAAAAUAAAAAAUUAAUUUAUUAUUAAGAAAACUAAGAUUGAAUAAAAACCCUUUAAUGAUAGGAGUAUGAAAAAAAAAUAUCCAAGAAAAAAAGCCCAGUCACCCUCAGCUUGUUCAUAGGAGCCAGGAAUGCGAACCUGAAAGUCGUCUCUGUUUGAUUUUAAAAAAAUAACAGCCACUGGCUUCUUUGCUACUGAAUUCUCGAUCGAAGAAGCAAAAUUAAAAAAAAAAAAAUCGAAUCCAAAACAGGAGUUAGUUGAAUUUGUUUUGACAAGAGAGAAAAGGAUAGUUAAACACAAAACAAGGAGAGAGAGAGAGAGAGAUGAGAGAUUUUUCAAUGGGGAACUUUUGACGAAAAAAAAGAAGAUAUUUUGAUGUAAAUUGCGGGGUCACAAAUUGAUUAUGAAUAUUAAGUUCUGUUUGGUAACGCAGUCUUCAAUUCUCCGUGUAUUUAAGAAAUACUGUUUUGUUUUGUUGGGUGUUUGAAAAUAUAGUUAUAAUUGCUUUUCAAAUAUAUUUUUACUAAAAAGAAUAUGUUAAUUUUUAUUUUUAAAAAAAUAUUUUUGAGAUUAGUACAUUAAAAUGAUUUGAAAACAUCAAAAAUAUAUUAAUAAAAAAAAAUUAAAUUUUUUAAAAAAUACUUUUAAAAUACAGCGCUAAACACGCUCCCACAGCAAACAACCAGAACUCCAGGUUGAAAAAUAGCGCAUACUUUAGAGAGGUAAUUUUGGAAACCUUUGGAGAAGUACUGCAACUGUUAGUGCAACUGUCUUGCUCCUCUUCACUCUUGUACAGACAAUUUGUGCAGUCCUUUCCUUGCGCUAGUACUCCAAGGGGACCAAGUUAGCCCCAAUCCGGUGUCAUUUUAUUUCUCUCAUUGUUGACUUUCGUUGUAUUGUUUGUGUACUUUCCGUUUCCUUUGCAGUUUUUCAUUGUACUUCAACUCAUGGGCUUUCUUUGUAUUUAGUAUUCAUGACUUUGUAAUGGACGCUGUCUUCGCUAUCAAGUUCAUCCUGCAGAAUUCAACAAAUCUCCAUCCUAAAGAGUCAAAAAUUAUCUUAGGAAAGCAAAAAUUGAUAGUGAAGAUUAUCUUAGGACUUGAUACUACUCGAAAAUCAACUACCUAAGGGCGGAGUCAUGAAUUUUUUUUAUCCUGGACUAUUAAAUAAAAAUAUAAAUAUAUUUUAAGAUCGAUUAUUAAUUCAUGUACAUUAAUUUUUAAAAUUAAUAUUAAAGUUUUAAUUCAAAUACAUUAUCCAAAAUAUUAAAAAAUAAAUUUGAAAGUAUAUAAAAUUAAGACGAAAGUAAAAAUAAACUCACUAUUAAAGUUACAUCCUUCGAUGUUUUGUGGAAUAUAAUUCAUCUAUAAUCGAAUCUGAAUCGAUAUUGUAACAACCCCUCAACCGGGAUAAAAUAACAAUCUCAUGUCAACUGGAAAAUAAAGUAAUUAAAUUUUUUUCCUCUUUUAAUUCCUUCUUCCUUCACUUGAUUCUUCCUAGAUUAGUGUUUUAUAAGUUGGACUUUGUAAGUUUACAAGGUUAUUUCUCACUUUUAUUUUUUUCUUGGAAUUUUUUUAUGUUUUUCCCUUACUUUUUUCUAUUUCUCUCUCGCCUUUUCUUUUCUUUCUUCUUCUAUUCUGCUUCUGCUCAGUCGGCAACAUAUAAAAGGAAGGAGGAGCUGAUUUGUUUUAUUUUUUAAUGGCAAAUAACCAUUUUACUCUUAAUGAGUCAUUUUGCUUUUAUUUGACGGUCUUUUUUUUGUUAGCACUACCAAGCUCCGUUCAUCCUAAACUCUUAACUAGAUUUUAUUCAAUAUAUUUUAAGAUCCCUCGUAAAAUUUCAACUCGAUCUGAUGGUCGGAUUGAAAAUUACAUCCAAUAACGUAAAACUGAUCAAAUUGUGAUUUUUCAUCAAAUUUCUAAAUUUCUCCAAAAAUUCUGAAAUUUUAACCCAAGCUAAAGCAUCAUAUUAGAAGGCUCCACGUAAAUUUUCAGAAUUUUUUGAUAACUUAAUUGAGAAUUAUAAAUUUUUUUACAUAAAACUAGUUAAAAAAUAUUGAUAAAAUCUUGACCUAGGCUAAAGCCCACCCCAGCCUUUACCAUGCCUCCGCCUAUUUACUACCUUACUUAAUUGUUGAGAAACAGUAUGACAAGAGAUAUUACCCUACAUUUCUUCAGCUUAUCUGUAACUACCCUGCAGUGGAGGCAAAACCUCAUCCACGGGAAGUAAGACAUUUCACUGAUUUGGUAAGGUGUUCUAUGUUGAUUGAGCCUAGUCCUCGAAACCUUGACUUUCCUAUU
rnacentral:lncRNA from 1 species